rnacentral:rRNA from 1 species
UGUUGCGAUCAUACCAGCACUAAUGCACCGGAUCCUAUCAGAACUCCGCAGUUAAGCGUGCUUGGGCGAGAGUAGUACUAGGAUGGGUGACCCCCUGGGAAGUCCUCGUGUUGCAACCC